UCCCUUGUAGCUUAGCUGGUAAAGAAUCCACCUGCAAUGCGGGAGACCUGGGUUCGAUUCCUGGUUUGGGAA
rnacentral:tRNA from 1 species